GGUGUUGUAGCUCAGUUGUAGAGUACUUGCCUAGCAUGUAAGAGGCAGUGGGUUCGAUCCUCAGCCCCA
rnacentral:tRNA from 1 species